CAGUUUAGGGGAUGGAGCUCUGAGGAAGGGUGACCUACUUUCCCUCUGUUUGCAGUUCUCAAAUGGAGCCACAUCUGCUGCAGGAGAACUGCUUGUGGGGCAUGUGAAGACCAUUUGUCAGGGGAGACUGAGGUAGUAGCCACGUCCUGAUGGUGCAGCUGAUGGAAAGGGGCCCAGAGGAGAGAGAGCAAUGUUUGACCAAGGCUGCAGCAGCUCCAAGUCACCCACUUGAACCUAACGACCAUCCCCUCAGACUGUGGGUGAACUCCAUCUUCUGCACCAGGUUGAAUUUCACCUGGAGAGAGGAACAUUCCUUUACAAUAAAGACAGCAGAAGCUAUGAAAAAACGGACACAUUUGAACUGUGUCCAAUUACCGAACAUAAUCCAAUUUUUUAAAAUGUCUUGUAUUACCGUAGCACCGAGAUCCGUGCUGGGCACUGCGAAUACA